rnacentral:rRNA from 1 species
AUUGAACGCUGGCGGCAUGCCUUACACAUGCAAGUCGAACGGUAACAGGUCUUUCGGGAUGCUGACGAGUGGCGAACGGGUGAGUAAUACAUCGGAACGUGCCUAGUAGUGGGGGAUAACUACUCGAAAGAGUGGCUAAUACCGCAUGAGAUCUAUGGAUGAAAGCAGGGGACCUUCGGGCCUUGUGCUACUAGAGCGGCCGAUGGCAGAUUAGGUAGUUGGUGGGAUAAAAGCUUACCAAGCCUACGAUCUGUAGCUGGUCUGAGAGGACGAUCAGCCACACUGGGACUGAGACACGGCCCAGACUCCUACGGGAGGCAGCAGUGGGGAAUUUUGGACAAUGGGCGCAAGCCUGAUCCAGCAAUGCCGCGUGCAGGAUGAAGGCCUUCGGGUUGUAAACUGCUUUUGUACGGAACGAAAAGUCUUGAGUGAAUACCCUGGGAUCAUGACGGUACCGUAAGAAUAAGCACCGGCUAACUACGUGCCAGCAGCCGCAGUAA